rnacentral:rRNA from 1 species
UGGGGAAUAUUGCACAAUGGGCGCAAGCCUGAUGCAGCCAUGCCGCGUGUAUGAAGAAGGCCUUCGGGUUGUAAAGUACUUUCAGCGGGGAGGAAGGGAGUAAAGUUAAUACCUUUGCUCAUUGACGUUACCCGCAGAAGAAGCACCGGCUAACUCCGUGCCAGCAGCCGCGGUAAUACGGAGGGUGCAAGGGUGAAUCGGAAUUACUGGGCGUAAAGCGCACGCAGGCGGUUUGGUAAGUCAGAUGUGAAAUCCUCGGGCUCAACCUGGGAAAUGCAUCUGAUACUGGCAGGCUUGGGUGUCGUAGAGGGGGGUAGAAUUCCAGGUUUAGCGGUGAAAUGCGUAGAGAUCUGGAUGAAUACCGGUGGCGAAGGCGGCCCCCUGGACGUAGACUGACGCUCAGGUGCGAAAGCGUGGGGAGCAAACAGU